CGGAGUGUAGCUCAGCUUGGUAGAGCACUGCGUUCGGGACGCAGGGGCCGAAGGUUCAAAUCCUUUCACUCCGACCA
rnacentral:tRNA from 1 species